GGCCUACGGGACGCAGCAGUGGGGAAUAUUGCACAAUGGGGGAAACCCUGAUGCAGCGACGCCGCGUGGGCGAGGAAGUACCUCGGUAUGUAAAGCCCUAUCAGCAGGGAAGAAACAGGACAGUACCUGACUAAGAAGCCCCGGCUAACUACGUGCCAGCAGCCGCGGUAAUACGUAGGGGGCAAGCGUUAUCCGGAUUUACUGGGUGUAAAGGGAGCGUAGACGGCAUUGCAAGUCUGAUGUGAAAGAUUGGGACUCAACCCCAGGCCUGCAUUGGAAACUGUAAAGCUGGAGUACAGGAGAGG
rnacentral:rRNA from 1 species